UACGAAGGGUGCAAGCGUUACUCGGAAUUACUGGGCGUAAAGCGUGCGUAGGUGGUUCGUUAAGUCUGAUGUGAAAGCCCUGGGCUCAACCUGGGAAUGGCAUUGGAAACUGGCGACCUAGAGUGCGGUAGAGGGUAGUGGAAUUCCCGGUGUAGCAGUGAAAUGCGUAGAGAUCGGGAGGAACAUCCGUGGCGAAGGCGCUCUGCUAGGCCGUAACUGACACUGAGGGACGAAAGCUAGGGGAGCGAAUGGG
rnacentral:rRNA from 1 species